UUCUGAAAAAAUCCUAUCAUUGGAAAUCGGAGCAAAAUUGCUGGUAAAAAAGUUGUUUAAAAAAAAAAAAGUAAACAAGCAUCACCAUAAAACCAAUAAAUUCCUCACGCCACUCAGAAUCGAAACAAUUAGUAUCUUCCCCUAUACAUUUCCCAAAAUUUUGUAGCAAUGGUUCUACUGACAUAUUAUGAUCAUCAUUACAACAUUCAUAUAUUUUGUACCUAUUUUAACGAAUUACUGUAAAUAUUUUUAGUAUUGCUUAAUAUUAUAUCUCAAAUUUAUUAUCAUUAAAAUGAGUAUUGAGUCUUAAAACAAUACACUACU